CCUGGUUGAUCCUGCCAGUGGUCAUAUGCUUGUCUCAAAGAUUAAGCCAUGCAUGUUUAAGCAGAAGCCGCACAACGGUAAAGCCGCGAAUGGCUCAUUACAAUAGCCGUCGUUUCUUGGAUCUCUAAUUUUACUUGGAUAACUGUGGUAAUUCUAGAGCUAAUACACGCACUAAAGCUCUGACCUUACGGAACGAGCGCAUUUAUUAGAACAAAACCAAUCGGGUUUCGGCCCGUUCGUUGGUGACUCUGAAUAACUCUGCCGAUCGCACGGUCUCGCACCGGCGACGUAUCUUUCAAGUGUCUGCCUUAUCAACUUUCGAUGGUAGUUUAUGUGCCUACCAUGGUUGUAACGGGUAACGGAGAAUAAGGGUUCGACUCCGGAGAGGGAGCCUGAGAAACGGCUACCACAUCCAAGGAAGGCAGCAGGCGCGCAAAUUACCCACUCUCGGCACGAGGAGGUAGUGACGAAAAAUAACGAGACGGAUCUCUUUGAGGCCCGUUAUCGGAAUGAGAACAAUUCAAAUCCUUUAACGAGGAUCUAGCGGAGGGCAAGUCUGGUGCCAGCAGCCGCGGUAAUUCCAGCUCCGCAGGUGUAUAUCUAUGCUGCUGCGGUUAAAAAGCUCGUAGUUGGAUCUGCGUGCUCGGAACUGGUUGGCUCACUGAGUUCAAACUGGUCUCCGGCGCUUUAUUGGCUGGUUUUCCCUUGAUGCUCUUAACCGGGUGUCUUGGGUGGCUAGCACGUUUACUUUGAAAAAAUUAGAGUGCUCAAUACAGGCGUAAAGCCUUGAAUAGUGGUGCAUGGAAUAAUAGAAUAGGACCUCGGCUCUAUUUUGUUGGUUUUCGGAACGCGAGGUAAUGAUUAAGAGGGACAGACGGGGGCAUUCGUAUUGCGACGUUAGAGGUGAAAUUCUUGGAUCGUCGCAAGACGGACGACUGCGAAAGCAUUUGCCAAGAAUGUUUUCAUUAAUCAAGAACGAAAGUUAGAGGUUCGAAGGCGAUCAGAUACCGCCCUAGUUCUAACCGUAAACGAUGCCAACUAGCGAUUCGCAGGCGUUAAACAACGACCUUGCGGGCAGCUUCCCGGAAACGAAAGUGUUCGGGUUCCGGGGGAAGUAUGGUUGCAAAGCUGAAACUUAAAGGAAUUGACGGAAGGGCACCACCAGGAGUGGAGCCUGCGGCUUAAUUUGACCCAACACGGGAAAACUCACCCGGCCCGGACACCGUAAGGAUUGACAGAUUGAGAGCUCUUUCUUGAUUCGGUGGGUGGUGGUGCAUGGCCGUUCUUAGUUGGUGGAGCGAUUUGUCUGGUUUAUUCCGAUAAC
rnacentral:rRNA from 1 species